UUUCAGAAAUUAAAUGUCUUUAUUUUUACAGCAAUCAUGUAAGAUCACAGUGCCCUUCAAUUAUUAAAUCAAUUAAACAUGGAAAAACUAUCUGCUGCAUCUCCACAUGCCCAGCUAUUGAAUAAAAAAACAAACAAACAAAAAAAUUAAGAAAAAAAGGAAAAAAAAAGAAGAAAAAAUUAAAAAUUCAAGUCAUUUUUAUUCCUCAGUCAAAGGAAAACAAUACUUUUGAUCAACUGUAUUCUCACACCUUCUAAACCUCAGGCAGUUCAUCCGCUUCCACAAAAGUCUCACUGCAAGGGUAAACUUGCAUGAUUUACUUAAAAAUUAACAAUAAAUAAAUCCAUUGGAUUUGUAGCACUAAGAUAGGUUUAACUGCAAGCCUCUUGGGCAACCUCUUCACUGGUAAAUUCUAGGUGGCAAAGGCCAAAUACUGCAAGAAAACAAAGAUACACCUGAUCAUACUAUGAAGUCCUACUGGACUCACCUAACCAAGGGCUUUAUUAGGAAAGUACGUAACUGUGCAGCGACCUGGACUCUACUGUGAAUACGAGCAGAGGGAAUUCACUGCACAGCACACACACGUGCUCAUGCCUGGGACAGAGCAGGAGGAUACCUUCAUCUUGCUAAGAUGCACUCACUAUCAGGUGCUGAAGCCCGGGAUCAUAAAUACAGCCACCCACACCGAGUGACUUUAUUGAGUCACUUGGUUACAUUUCUAUUUUCCUCCUGGUCAUAAGCAAAGAAAACCUACAAAAAUCCUGCAGGCUGGAAGAAGAACUGGUUUGGUGCCAUCUCUGCCCACGUCAGUUGCCUCCUAGGUUCGCUCUCCCCAGCCCACACCACACAGGAAAGUGUUUCUGCUGUGAAGAGAUGCGACAUGCCCUUUCUCAAAUGCUUAGCACCCACCUACCCCCUCCCACCACCUUAUGAGCAGCUACAGCAUAUUACAGCUGCGUUUCAGGUGAAGCUAUGUAGACCAAGCUUUCCUAUGUAGACUAGGCCUAUCACAACACAUUCAAACAAGCAACAUGAUAACGUAGAGACUUGCUGAGCACACCUGCAAACUCUCCCCCUCUCUCCCACUAGACGCCACCAGCAUGCUCCAGGCACCUUCCACCACUCUCUCCCAGCCAAAAGGGCAAAGCAGCACCAAC
rnacentral:lncRNA from 1 species